UGUUUAUGAUGAUUAAUCAAGGGGUUGUUUCUAAAAAAGAAUCGCAAUUGCCGACUAAGAGCUUUUGCCUUUCGCUGGGCUUGAGAGCUAAUGCUGCUUUAUUCCUCCUUGGGUGUCUGAAACA